rnacentral:rRNA from 1 species
GUCUUGUUGUUUAUAAUAAUAAGUCUAUUCUGCCCAUUGAUUAAAAGUUAAAAGGCUGCAGUAUACUGACUGUACAAAGGUAGCAUAAUCAAUUGUUUUUUAAUUGAAAACUAGUAUGAAAGAAUGGAUGAAAUAUAAUUUGUCUCAAAAUUAUAAUAUUGAAUUUAAAUUAAAAGUUAAAAUGCUUUUAUUUAAUUAUAAGACGAGAAGACCCUAUAGAAUUUUAUAAAUUUUAUUUAUUAAAGAUAUUAUAUAAUAAAAUAUUUAAUAAAUAAUUAUAUUUUAUUGGGAGGAUAUUUAAAUUAAUUUAACUUUAAUAAUUAAUAAACAUUAAUUCAUGAGUAUAUGAUUAUUAUUAUAAUUAUUAGAAUAAAUUACCUUAGGGAUAACAGCGUAAUAAUUUUGGAGAGUUCAUAUCGAUAAAAUUGUUUGCGACCUCGAUGUUGAAUUAUGAUAAAAAUUAAAUGGAGUUAUUUAAAAUUUUAGU